rnacentral:rRNA from 1 species
GUUUUCCUACGGGGGGCAGCAGUGGGGGAUAUUGCACAAUGGGGGAAACCCUGAUGCAGCGACGCCGCGUGAGUGAAGAAGUAUUUCGGUACGUAAAGCUCUAUCAGCAGGGAAGAAUAAUGACGGUACCUGACUAAGAAGCCCCGGCUAACUACGUGCCAGCAGCCGCGGUAAUACGUAGGGGGCAAGCGUUAUCCGGAAUCACUGGGUGUAAAGGGAGCGUAGACGGCUGUGCAAGCCUGAAGUGAAAGGCGGGGGCCCAACCCCUGGACUGCUUUGGGAACUGUACGGCUGGCGUGCAGGAG